rnacentral:rRNA from 1 species
CAGUCGCCGCGGUAAUACGUAGGUCCCGAGCGUUGUCCGGAUUUAUCGGGCGUAAAGCGAGCGCAGGCGGUUAGAUAAGUCUGAAGUUAAAGGCUGUGGCUUAACCAUAGUACGCUUUGGAAACUGUUUAACUUGAGUGCAAGAGGGGAGAGUGGAAUUCCAUGUGUAGCGGUGAAAUGCGUAGAUAUAUGGAGGAACACCGGUGGCGAAAGCGGCUCUCUGGCUUGUAACUGACGCUGAGGCUCGAAAGCAUGGGGCGCAAACAGGAUUAGAGACCCCUGUAGUCCCUGUCUCUUAUACA